rnacentral:rRNA from 1 species
UGGGGAAUAUUGCACAAUGGAGGGAACUCUGAUGCAGCGACGCCGCGUGAGUGAUGAAGGAAUUCGUUUCGUAAAACUCUGUUCUAUGGGAAGAAAAGGACUGUACCAUAGGAGAAAGCUCCGGCUAAAUACGUGCCAGCAGCCGCGGUAAUACGUAUGGAGCGAGCGUUGUCCGGAAUUAUUGGGCGUAAAGGGUGCGCAGGCGGCUUUACAAGUUGGAUGUGGAAUAUUGUGGCUCAACCACAAACGUGCAUCCAAAACUGCAAAGCUUGAGUUAAGGAGAGGUAAGUGGAAUUCCUGGUGUAGCGGUGGAAUGCGUAGAUAUCAGGAGGAAUACCGGUGGCGAAGGCGACUUACUGGACUUAAACUGACGCUCAGGCACGAAAGCGUGGGGAGCAAACAGG